UUGCCUAUAAUCCCAGUGCUUUGGGAGGCCAAGCAAGGCAGGAAUGCUGGAGUUCGAGACCAGACUGGUCUACAUGGCAAGACCUUAGUGUAGAGGUUAGGCUACGUCUCUGCAAUCCUGCACAGGACCUACAGUAACACAGUCUUGUGACUGCUGUUGGGGUCCUUUUAUAUAAGUUAAGCUUUUGUGUUAAUUUUACUUCAAUUUAUCACAAACUUCUACCCUGAAAAAAAUAUAUCUGGGCAAGUGCCACUUGUCAAUAAGAAUGGAUAAAAAAAGUUUUUAAAUUAAAGUGUGAUCUUGAUUCUUUAAGAAACGUGUUGCACCUUCAAGCAAUCUGGUGUGCAUUCUUUCUGCCCUGCUCCCCUUCCUACCCCUACUUGUCUGACCUAGCCAUCCUUUCAAGGUUCCCACUCUAUUUCUGCUCUCUCCAGCUUUCUAUCCUGGCCUAUAGUCUCAUCUCCUGCACCCCUCCUCCCCAAUCUAUUCAGCCCACCACAUUCAAAGCAUUCUUUCUCAUGUGUAAUACCAACCAUGUGUCCUCUCUCCCCCCCAUUUUUUUUUAGCUUUAUUGAGGUAUAAUUGGCAUAAAAGAAACUGCACAUAAUUAGGUGACUGACUUCUUUCACUUAGCAUAAUGUCUUCCAGGUUUAUUCAUGUUCUCACAGACUGUAGGCUUUCCUUCUUUUUUUUAAGGCUGGAUAAUAUUCUAUUACAUGGCUAUACCAAUUUUUCUUUAUCUGUUAAUUUUUCAACAGACAUUUGAGUUGUUUCCAUAUGUUGGCUAUUGUGAAUAAACCUGCAGUGAACAUGGGAGUGCAGCUAUCCCUUCAAGAUCCUGACUUCAAUUGUUAUGGAUGUAUACCCAGAGCGCUGCUGGAUUAGGGUCUCCACGACUGAGCUGGUCUCAGCAAGCGGUGCCCAACAUGGGGGCUUGAACCCAGGAUGAAGAGUCGCUGGAGCGAUGGUUGGAGAACGUGGAAGUAAGCUGGAGAACACCCGAGUACUCUUAAGCAAUCCCCGUGAGCCAGGAGAGCGCAUAGCACAGCUCCUGAUUGUGCCAUAUGUGGAAAUGGGGAAAAGUGAAACUAAACGAACAGGAGGAUUUGGAAGCACAAAUAAAGAAGGUAAAGCAGCUUAUUGGGUGAAUCAAAUUCCUGAUAAACGUCCUACCUGUGAAAUAACUAUUCAGGGAAAGAAAUUUAAAGGUUUGGUACAUACAGGAGCGGACAUUUCAGUCAUUUCUCUACAGCACUGGCCGUCCACAUGGCCAAUUCAACCCGCUCAAUUUAACAGAGUUGGCGUUGGUAAAGCCCCUGAAGUAUAUCGCAGUAGUUAUAUUUUGCAUUGUGAAGGGUCCGAUGGACAAUCUGGGACUAUUCAACCAAUUGUAACUUCUGUACCUAUAAAUGUAUGGGGAAGAGAUUUAUUACAGCAAUGGGGAGCACAAGUGUUAAUUCCAGAACAAUUAUAUAGCCCUCAAAUUCAGCAUAUGAUGCAAGAGAUGGGGUAUGUGCCUGGCACGGGAUUAGGAAAAAAUUUACAAGGGUUAAAGAAACUGCUCCAAGUGGAAGGACAGAAUUCUUGUCAGGGUUUAGGAUAUCAUUUUUGAUGGCGGCUGUUGGUAAGCCUCCAGAACCUAUACCUUUAAAAUGGUUAACAGAUAAGCCAAUUUGGAUAGAACAACGGCCACUGAAUAAAGAGAAACUAGAGGCUUUAGAGGACUUCUAAUUUUUACUGAACAAUUAGAAAAAGGACACAUAGCUCCAACAUUUUCCCCCUGGAAUUCUCCAGUCUUUGUUAUUAAGAAAAAAUCAGGUAAAUGGAGAAUGUUAAUUGACUUAAGGGCCAUUAAUUCAGUUAUGCAACCUAUGGGGGCAUUGCAGCCAGGAUUGCCUUCUCCUGCUAUGAUUCCAAAAAAUUGGCCUUUAAUAGUCAUAGAUGUAAAAGGCUAUUUCUUUACUAUCUCCUUAGCUGAGCAAGGCUGUGAAUGGUUUGCAUUUACAAUUCCUGCGGUAAACAUUCUGCAGCCUGCUAAGCAUUUUCACUGGAAAGUGUUGCCACGAGGCAUGUUAAACAGCCCAACAAUUUGCCAGACUUAUGUAGGGCAAGCAAUUGAACCUACUUGUAAAAAGUUAUCACGGUGUUACAUUAUUCAUUAUAUAGGCAAUAUUCUUUAUGCUGCCCCUACUUGGGAAAUAUUACUCCAAUGUUAUGAUCACUUAACAAAACUCGAUUUCUCAAGCCAGUUUAAUUAUAGCACCUGACAAAAUUCAAACUACUACUCCUUACUCCUACUUAGGGACCUUAGUAAAUGACACUACAAUAGUGCCACAGAAAGUAACUAUAUGUAGGGAUCAACUAAAAACACUGAAUGACUGUCAAAAAUUACUAGGGAACAUUAGUUGGAUACGACCUGCUCUAGGCAUUCCUACCUAAGCCAUGAGUAAUCUAUUUUCUAUCCUUAGAGGAGAUCCUAGUCUCACUAGCCCUCAACAAUUAAUAAAGGAGGCUGACACAGAGUUACAGCCGAUUGAGAAGCAAGUGCAUAAAGCUCAAAUAAAUAGAAUAGAUCCAAAAAAUACUUUUGACUUGUUGAUUUUUCUGACUCAGCAUUCACCUACUGGUGUUAUUGUCCGAGAGCAGGACUUGGUAGAAUGGCUUUUUCUUCCACAUACGAAUUCACAGACUGUCUUUAUUUGGAUCAUAUUGCUACUCUGAUAGGAAAUGGGAGAACUCGAAUUGUUAAAUUGCACGGAUAUGACACUGGAAAAAUUAUUGUCCCUCUUACAAAGACACAAAUACAACAAGUCUUACUUGGCAAACCCAUUUAGCUGAUUUUGUAGGUGUUCUUGAUAAUCACUUUCUGAAAACAAAAUUAUUUCAAUUUUUAAAAUUAGCUAAUUGGAUUCUCCCUAGAAUAACUAAAUUUAAACCAAUUUAAAUUGGUUUACAGAAAAUGUUUUUACAGAUGGGUCUGGCAAUAGUAAAGCUUCUUAUUCUGGAUCAAAAAGUAAAGUUUUCCGGACACCCUAUACUUCAGCUCAAAAAUGGAGCUUGUAGCUGUAAUUGAGAUACUGACUGCUUUUGAGAUGCCUGUCAAUGUAAUUUCUGUUUCUUCAUAUGUGGUUCAUUCUACACAGUUAGUUGAAAAUGCUCAGCUACAAUUCCACACAGAUGAGCAACUGAUGACUUUAUUUACCCAAUUGCAAACAGCCGUUAGGAAUAGAAUGCACCCUUUUUACAUUAUUCACGUUAGGGCUCAUAUACCUCUUCUAGGACCUUUAACUGAAGGGAAUCAAAUGGCUGAUCACCUAGUUGCUACUGCAAUAUCUAAUGCUAGACACUUUCACAAUUUAACCCAUGUCAAUGCCUCUAGUCUCAAACGCAGAUACAGCAUUACCUGGAAAGAAGCUAAAGCUAUUAUCCAGUGAUGCCCAACUUGCCAAAUGGUACAUUCCUCAUCUUUUACAGGAGGAGUUAAUCCUGGAGGAUUGAAACCUAAUUCUCUUUGGCAAAUGGACGUCACACAUGUUCCCUUGUUUGGGAGACUAGCUUAUGUACAUGUAUGUGUGGACACCUUUUCUCACUUGGUCUGGGCUACAUGCCAAUCAGGAGAGUCUUCUGCCUGUGUUAAACAUCAUCUUUUGCAGUGUUUUGCAGUGAUGGGCAUUCCAGCUUCUAUUAAAACAGAUAAUGCCCCAGGCUAUCCUAGCCAAGCUCUAGCUACAUUUUUCUCUAUAUGGAAUAUUAAACACAUUACUGGUAUCCCAUAUAAUUCACAACGACAAGCCAUUGUGAAAAGAAUGAAUCUCUCCCUAAAACAGCAGUUACAAAAACAGAAAGGGGGGAACAGUGAUUAUAGGACUCCACACAUGCAACUAAAUCUAGCAUUAUUAACUUCAAAUUUUUUGAGCCUGCCUAAAGGCCAGAUGCUAUCAGCAGCUGAGCAGCAUCUACAGAAACCCGCUGCAAAGACAGAAGCAGAACAACAGGUUUGGUGGAGAGAUCCGUUAACAAAAAGUUGGGAAAUAGGUAAAAUAAUAACUUAGGGUAGAGGUUAUGCUGGUGUUUCUCCAGGCCAAAACCAGCAGCUGAUUUGGAUACCAUGAAGACACCUGAAACCUUGUCAUGAGCCAGAUGCCGAGGAAGAGAUUUUGCGAGGGACCCAAGGACCACCCUGUUGCAGCCAAGUCUAGACUGACAAUAAGGCCUCCUUUCCUCUUUGUAGUGGGUGAUUUAAAACUUGACCUGUCUAGAUCAAGCUUUUUUUUUUUUGAGCUAUACUUCAGCUCAAAAAGAGGAGCUUUUUGAUGUGAUUUGUCAAGAAUGUAGAUUGUUUUCUUGCGUGAAUUCUUCCUUGUAUAAUCCUGAUCAUUCUAUUUUAGUGGUAAGAGCCCGAGAAGGAGUAUGGAUACCUGUAAGGCUUUCCCGUCCUUGGAAAGCCUCUCCUUCUGUGCAUAUUAUUACUGAAAUUCUUCAAAAGAUUUUGAGGCACUCUUGGCGUUAAAUUGCUGCUUUAAUUUUAGUCAUUAUGGGAUUGAUUGCUGUCACAGCUACUGCCACGGCAGCUGGAGUUGCUUUGCAUUCCACAGUACAAACAGCAGACUAUGUAAAUAAUUGGCAGAAAAUUUCUACUCUGCUGUGGAAUUCCCAAACUAAUAUAGACCAGAAACUAGCUAAUCAAAUCAAUGAUCUCCAACAAACUAUAAUGUGGCUAGGAGAUUGAGUAGUUAGUCUAGAAUAUAGAACGCAGUUACAAUGUGAUUGAGAUACUUCUGAUUUUUGCAUUACUCCUCAUCGGUAUAAAGAAACAGAGCAUGAGUGGGAAAGAGUUAAGAGACAUUUAAAGGGUCAUACUGGAAAUUUAUCUUUGGAUAUUGCAAAACUGAAGGAACAAGCAUUUCAAGCCUCUCAGGCAUAUCUGACGCUAAUGCCAGGAACUGAAGUGCUUGAAGGAGCUGCAGACGGAUUAGCAGCUAUUAACCCGUUUAAAUGGAUCAAGACGCUUGGAGGGUCUGUGAUUUCAAUGGUGAUUGUGCCUUUAAUCUGCGUUGUUUGUCUUUGUGUAGUCUGCAGAUGGGGAUCCCCAAUCCCGUGAGAAGUAGCCCACCAUGACAAAGCUGCCUUUGCCUUUAUUGCUUUGCAAAAAACAAUAAAUAAAUAAAUAAAGAGGGACAUGCUGGUAGCGAGCUCUAAGCCUGUCAUAAACAGGCCUUAAAGAAACUGGCCAUAAACAGGAUUUCUGCAGCAAUGUGACAUGCUAGUGACGGCUAUCACGCACACUGCUAAAAGUUGUUGGUUUACUGGAGCAGGGCAAGGAAAACCUGGCCCACCCAGAGUGGAAAACUGCUCAAACCACAAACAAUAGCAGGAGCGGCCUGUGCCUUAACAACAUGCUUUUGCUGCAGAUGAUCAGCCAGAGCCUCUUUCUCUGCUCCUCACUAGGAAUGCUUUUAGUUAAUCUAUAAUCUGUAGAAACUAUGCUUAUCCUGGCUUUCUGUCAAUAAAUGUGUGGGUCGAACUCUGUUUGUGGUGCUCAGCUCUGAAGGCUGUCAGCCCCCUGACCCCCACUCUGCACUCUAUUUCUGUGUCUUUGUCUUAAUUCCUCUAGCGCUGCUGGGUUAGGGUCUCCACGACUGAGCUGGUCUUGGCAGAGUUCCAUAUCCAAAUCUGAGUUGCUGUGAAGGUGCAAAUUCUUUUAACAUUAGAAAAAGGGAAUAUCCUGCGAGGAUCAGAACUCCAAGACAGAGUCUUGGAUUUCAAAGCCUGGUGAUGGUGAAAAUGGUGUGUCUUUGGGGAUAGAGAGAACUUUUUCCUUCACAUCUCUCACGUUCACCCUUAUACAUCGUUGCACAGGGGAGCUUGCAGGCUCUGAGCCCACCCUGGCUGUGGGAGCAGGAGGAAUCUCUGGUUUGGGUGCUGAGGGGUCCUCAGCAGGGUGGGUGUGUUGGGGAGAUGUAUAGUUGGCAGAACUGUCCACACGCUUUUCUUUUCUGCCACUAUCCUCACUGUGGUGUCCUUGGGAGGCUACAGGAGUCAUGGGACCAGGGACCUGCUCAGCUAUCCGACCGCUGGCCCCACCGCACACAGACACUUUUGCACAGGACAUCACACAUCCCAGGGAUUGUAACAUAUUCAUUUUACCAACUCUUCCUUCCUCAGCAUACAGAUGUCCUUCCUGCCUGCAAUUAGCACUUCCCAAAAAACUGCCAAGCCACGUAUCUACCUGACUUUUCUUUACAUCAACCCACACUUCUACUUGAAUAUUCUUUUUUUUUUCUUCAACUUUUAUGUUAAGUUCAGGGCACAUGGGGAGAACAACACACACGGGGUAUUCUUUUUAAAAAACAGAACAAUCAAUACUUGCUAUCAAAAAAUAGAAGCUACACACUUAAAUAAAAGAUGUUGCCCAUGGAGUCCCUAAAAUUGUCCCGUGCGUCAGCGGCUGGGUGCACACCACACUCUGCGAAAUGGUGAUGGUAGGCCUCUGGCCCUUUCCUGGAAUUCGCAGCCCCUCAUGAGGAGCCCUUUGGAAUGAGAGGAAAAAUAAGCAUGUGGACAUGCCCUAGCCGAGGAGUGUUCUUUUAGUAUCCGCCAAUUGAGAAAAUAGACAACGUACAAAGCUACUAUUCAGAAUGAAUUCACCUUAUGUUAAUGAAAGGGCCCUCUGCAGAGGGCCUGGUGCACUAACCCUCCCUUCCAUCUGCAGAGGGCCUGGUGCACUAACCCUCCCUUCCAUCUGCAGAGGGCCUGGUGCACUAACCCUCCCUUCCAUCUGCAGAGGGCCUGGUGCACUAACCCUCCCUUCCAUCUGCAGAGGGCCUGGUGCACUAACCCUCCCUUCCAUCUGCAGAGGGCCUGGUGCACUAACCCUCCCUUCCAUCUGCAGAGGGCCUGGUGCACUAACCCUCCCUUCCAUCUGCAGAGGGCCUGGUGCACUAACCCUCCCUUCCAUCUGCAGAGGGCCUGGUGCACUAACCCUCCAAUUUGAAGCCACUUUGCAACUCUGUGGCUUCCUGGGGUCUGCAACUCACAGUUGGGAAUUCCUGGUUUAGGGGAAAGAGCCAAGACCCCCUUUGUUCCAUUGUGUGGACUUGAGCAUUUUGCCUUCUAGCUGGUUUUAGGUUCCCCUGACUAUGAAAUAGGCAUAAAAGCUCCUGCUUUUUUUUUUUUUAAACCUCACAGAUGUUAUUUUUGUGAAGACAAUGGAAAACACUAUUCUUCCACUCUGGGCAACAUGGUGAAACCCCGUCUUUACCCAAAAUACAAAAAUUAGCCAGGCAUGGUGGAACUCACCUGUAGUCCCAGCUAUUGGGGGGCGGGAUGAUGGGGAGGGCCGUUGAGGCAGGAGAAUUGCUUCAGCCAGGGAGGCAGAGAUUGCAGUGAGCUAAGAUCAUGCCACUGCACUCCAGCCUGGGUGACAGAGUGAGACUCUGUCUCAAAAAAGAAAAAUAAAAAAAGGAAGAAAUAAGGAAAGAGAAAGAAAGAAAAAGAAAGAAAGAGGAAAAAGAAGAAAGAAAAAGAACAAGAAGAAAGAAAGAAAGA